CCUACGGGUGGCUGCAGUGAGGAAUAUUGGUCAAUGGACGAGAGUCUGAACCAGCCAAGUAGCGUGAAGGAUGACUGCCCUAUGGGUUGUAAACUUCUUUUGUCAAGGAAUAAAACGACGCACGUGUGCCUUUUUGCAGGUACUUUGUGAAUAAGGAUCGGCUAACUCCGUGCCAGCAGCCGCGGUAAUACGGAGGAUCCGAGCGUUAUCCGGAUUUAUUGGGUUUAAAGGGAGCGUAGAGGGGUUGUUAAGUCGGUGGUGAAAGUUUGGGGCUCAACCGUAAAGUGCAAUUGGUACUGGGAGUCUUGAGUGCAGUGGAGGUAGGCGGAAUUCGUGGUGUAGCGGUGAAAUGCUUAGAUAUCACGAAGAACCCCGAUUGCGAAGGCAGCGUACUAAGCUGUGACUGACAUUGAUGCACGAAAGUGUGGGGAUCAAACAGGAUUAGAUACCCUGGUAGUC
rnacentral:rRNA from 1 species